GACGAACGCUGGCGGCGUGCUUAACACAUGCAAGUCGAACGGACAGGCCCUGCUUUUGUGGGGUGCUUGAUUGGCGAACGGGGGAGUAACACGCGAGUAACCUGCCCCUGACUUUGGGAUAACUUCAGGAAACAGGGGCGAAUACCGGAUAGGAGCUCUUGCUGCACGGGGGGGGUUGGAAAGAGUCGGCGGUUGGGGAUGGACUCGCGGCUUAUCAGCUUGUUGGGGUGGUAGUGGCUUACCAAGGCUUUGACGGGAAGCCGGCCUGGGAGGGUGACCGGCCACAUUGGGCCUGAGGUACGGCCCAGACUCCUACGGGCGGCAGCAGUCGGGAACAUUGCGCAGUGGGCGGGAGCCUGAUGCAGCAACGCCGCGUGCGGGAUGACGGCCUUCUGGUUGUAAACCGCUUUCGCCUGUGACGAAGAGUGCGUGACGGUAAUGGGUAAAGAAGCACCGGCUAACUACGUG
rnacentral:rRNA from 1 species